GCUGGGCGUGGUGGCGUGUGCCUGUAAUCCCAGCUACUCAGGAGGCUGAGGCAGAAGAAUUGCUUGAACCUGGGAGGCAGAGGUUGCAGUGAGCCGAGAUCGCGCCACUGCACUCCAGCCUGGGUGACAGAGCGAGACUCUGUCUCAA
rnacentral:SRP_RNA from 1 species